rnacentral:tRNA from 1 species
CUAGAGAAAGAGGACACACACCUCCUUAAUGGA